UUGUUUUAGGUCAUUUGGUUUAGAUUGCACUCCCCUCUAGAACCUUCAAACAAGGUCAAGGUCCAUUUGUAGGAGAAGGUAGGGUAGUGAAGCUUCCAAGUCUCCAGACACAUCCAAGUGAGGCGGUGCAUGGGGGGGUAGGGUAUUUUU
rnacentral:snRNA from 1 species